GCAAAACUCUCAUUCGUUUUCUCCUCCCCAUCUCUAAUCCCCCUCCCCGACCAACGCACGGUUCUAGGGUUUCCGCGCUAGAUCUCAGAUCGAGAUUUGUUCGUGAUUUCCCCGACAUGCGCUCCUCAUGGGCCGAUUCCGUUGAGAGCUCCGCUGCCGGAGCCCCCGCCGCCACCUCCCGCCCCUCCUACGUCCCUCCUCACCUCCGCAACCGCCCCGCCGGCGCCGAUCCCGCCGCUGAUGCCCCCUCCCGGUUCGCCCCGGCAUCCGGCUACGGCGGACCCCCGGG
rnacentral:misc_RNA from 1 species